rnacentral:rRNA from 1 species
CCUACGGGAGGCAGCAGUGGGGAAUAUUGGACAAUGGGCGAAAGCCUGAUCCAGCAAUGCCGCGUGAGUGAUGAAGGCCUUAGGGUUGUAAAGCUCUUUUACCAGGGAUGAUAAUGACAGUACCUGGAGAAUAAGCUCCGGCUAACUCCGUGCCAGCAGCCGCGGUAAUACGGAGGGAGCUAGCGUUGUUCGGAAUUACUGGGCGUAAAGCGUACGUAGGCGGUUAUUCAAGUCAGAGGUGAAAGCCUGGAGCUCAACUCCAGAACGGCCUUUGAAACUAGGUAGCUAGAAUCACGGAGAGGUUAGUGGAAUUCCGAGUGUAGAGGUGAAAUUCGUAGAUAUUCGGAAGAACACCAGUGGCGAAGGCGACUAACUGGACGUGUAUUGACGCUGAGGUACGAAAGCGUGGGGAGCAAACAGGAUUAGAUACCCCAGUAGUC